rnacentral:rRNA from 1 species
CAGUCGCCGCGGUAAUACGUAGGGUGCAAGCGUUGUCCGGAAUUAUUGGGCGUAAAGAGCACGUAGGCGGUUUGUCGCGUCUGCUGUGAAAUCUGGGGGCUCAACCCCCAGCCUGCAGUGGGUACGGGCAGACUAAAGUGCGGUAGGGGAGAUUGGAAUUCCUGGUGUAGCGGUGGAAUGCGCGGAUAUCAGGAGGAACACCGAUGGCGAAGGCAGAUCUCUGGGCCGUAACUGACGCUGAGGAGCGAAAGCAUGGGGAGCGAACAGGAUUAGAUACCCCGGUAGUCCCUGUCUCUUAUAC